rnacentral:rRNA from 3 species
CCGACCCCAGGUCAGGCGGGAUUACCCGCUGAGU